UACGUAGGGGGCAAGCGUUGUCCGGAAUCAUUGGGCGUAAAGCGCGCGUAGGCGGCCCUGUUAGUCCGCUGUAAAAGUCAAAGGCUCAACCUUUGAAUGCCGGUGGAUACUGCAGGGCUAGAGUCCGGAAGAGGCGAGUGGAACUCCUGGUGUAGCGGUGGAAUGCGCAGAUAUCAGGAAGAACACCAACGGCGAAGGCAGCUCGCUGGGACGGAACUGACGCUAAGGCGCGAAAGCGUGGGGAGCGAACAGG
rnacentral:rRNA from 1 species